rnacentral:lncRNA from 1 species
UCAUUUUCUCUUGCUCCUGCCGUGUAAGAAGUGCCUUUUGCCUCCCACCGUGAUUCUGAGGCCUCCCCAACCAUGUGCAAUUGCACAGGCCCAGGCUGAAGAGGAAAGACAAGAGCCGCCCUGCCCAGAAACGUCCACAUGUGGGUACUGCAUUCCUACCGGUGUGACAGAGGGAAGCGGCGGUGAGCCGGGGAGGCCUCUACGCUGUCCCGCCGUGGGAUCACACCGCGAUUGCUCAAACCACACGCAAGGUCCUGCCAUCAGAGGAGAGCUCGAAGCCGCUGUGGCAGGAACAGUGGAAGCUACCCGGCUUGUUGUGGCAGAUCUGGAGGCAGCCCCCGUUCUCCUGGCUGCAUUCGUUGACAUCUGGGAACAAGCACAGGCCUGAAGGGGAGCCCAAGGGUGCACAGCCCCUGGCUACGCACACAGGGGCUGGGGCUGGCCUUCGGAGUUACGAGGAAACGAGGACCAGGACCAGGGAUUCUGCAUCAGCACAGCCGCCAGGAGCCGGCCGGGGCCCCAUCCCUGACACUGCUGUCGCCCGGCUGUACCUGGGUGCUGUGUCCGCGGGGCGUCUGGAGACGUCGAUGUGGUCAUAGCAGGGCCUGGAACGGGGAGGUCUGGCCUGAACUAGAGAAAUGAGGGGCGUAUCCGCUUCUCCACCCUGGCCUCAGAUGAAGAGGCUCUGGGGGCAGGAGGGAGUCAGACACGUGCAGGGCAGGCGGCCUGUGCAGGGCCCAACCCUCCGGCACCAGAACCUGACCUCCUCAGAGGCCCCCACCAUGGAGGGAUGUCUGGGGGAUGCUGUGCGCUGCCGCUACGAUGUUUGGUUAGAGAUUAAAGCCAUUUCAGAAGUGGACACCUGCCCAUGUGAUGCAAAGGGCUGGGAACCCGGAAAAAAA